CUUGAACCUGUAUUGUUUAGGUAGUCUAGUCCCAGGUCUGGACCUUGAACCUGUAUUGUUUAGGUAGUCUAGUCCCAGGUCUGGAGCUUGAACCUGUGAUGUAUUGUUUAGGUAGUCUAGUCCCAGGUCUGGAGCUUGAACCUGUAUUGUUUAGGUAGUCUAGUCCCAGGUCUGGAACUUGAACCUGUAUUGUUUAGGUAGUCUAGUCCCAGGUCAAGAGCUUGAACCUGUAUU